rnacentral:rRNA from 1 species
CCUACGGGUGGCAGCAGUAAGGAAUAUUGGACAAUGGAGGCAACUCUGAUCCAGCCAUGCCGCGUGAAGGAUGAAGGCGCUAUGCGUUGUAAACUUCUUUUGAACGGGAGAAAACCCUCUUACGUGUAAGAGGCUGAUAGUACCGUUAGAAUAAGGGUCGGCUAACUUCGUGCCAGCAGCCGCGGUAAGACGAAGGACCCGAGCGUUAUCCGGAUUCAUUGGGUUUAAAGGGUGCGUAGGCGGAUUGGUAAGUCAGUGGUGAAAGCCCCAGGCUCAACUUGGGAACUGCCAUUGAUACUGCUAAUCUUGAGUGCAUAUGAUGUGGGCGGAAUAUGACAUGUAGUGGUGAAAUACUUAGAUAUGUCAUAGAACACCGAUUGCGAAGGCAGCUCACAAAACUGCAACUGACGCUGAGGCACGAAAGCGUGGGGAUCAAACAG